AUGAUUGCAAAAGAGAGGAAGAAGCAUGAAGGCGUCGGUGCCUAUAAAGAGGAGCUUUGUGCAAAGAUUGAGACCAGGAAUGCUUUGGCGGCCCAAGGGAAAGAAGAGAAGGCAACAAGGUGGAAUGAGCUCAAGUCUAUGGAGGAUGAGAAGUUGAGAGCAAAGUUUGCGGCACAAGCGAAAAUGGUAAAAGCGAAGGAGCGUAGCCUUGCAUUUGAGGAGGAGAGGCUUGCAAAAGAUAAUAAGGCCGGCGAGAAUCCUACCAUGUUCGUGGACCAAGGUACGAUGGAUGCCGUGGCAUGGAAGUGUUGGGAGCUCGCUCGUGAGGAGAUAUUAGCCCAAAAGGAGACCGUAUGUGGUGGUGGUACUACCGGUUGGGGUUAUGGUGGUGGACAUGGAGGACAUGGUGGUGGCCGUGAGGGUGAGGGUGAUGGAAAUGGAGGAGAUGGUGAUGACCGUGUGGGUGAUGGCGGUGCUGGUGAGCACAAAAGCGCUUGA
rnacentral:rRNA from 1 species